rnacentral:rRNA from 1 species
UCGAACGGCAGCACAGGAGAGCUUGCUCUCUGGGUGGCGAGUGGCGGACGGGUGAGGAAUACAUCGGAAUCUACUCUGUCGUGGGGGAUAACGUAGGGAAACUUACGCUAAUACCGCAUACGACCUACGGGUGAAAGCAGGGGACCUUCGGGCCUUGCGCGAUUGAAUGAGCCGAUGUCGGAUUAGCUAGUUGGCGGGGUAAAGGCCCACCAAGGCGACGAUCCGUAGCUGGUCUGAGAGGAUG